rnacentral:rRNA from 1 species
UACGUAGGGCGCAAGCGUUAUCCGGAAUUAUUGGGCGUAAAGAGCUCGUAGGCGGUCUGUCACGUCUGCCGUGAAAACCCGAGGCUUAACCUCGUGGCUUGCGGUGGAUACGGGCAGACUAGAGGUAGGUAGGGGAGAACGGAAUUCCCGGUGUAGCGGUGAAAUGCGCAGAUAUCGGGAGGAACACCGGUGGCGAAGGCGGUUCUCUGGGCCUUACCUGACGCUGAGGAGCGAAAGCAUGGGGAGCGAAACAGGG